CCUUCGGGGUACACGAGCGGCGAACGGGUGAGUAACACGUGGGUGAUCUGCCCUGUAUUUCGGGAUAAGCCUGGGAAACUGGGUCUAAUACCGGAUAUGACCUUACAUCGCAUGGUGUUUGGUGGAAAGAUUUAUCGGUACAGGAUGGGCCCGCGGCCUAUCAGCUUGUUGGUGGGGUAAUGGCCUACCAAGGCGACGACGGGUAGCCGGCCUGAGAGGGCGACCGGCCACACUGGGACUGAGACACGGCCCAGACUCCUACGGGAGGCAGCAGUGGGGAAUAUUGCACAAUGGGCGAAAGCCUGAUGCAGCGACGCCGCGUGAGGGAUGACGGCCUUCGGGUUGUAAACCUCUUUCGACAGGGACGAAGCGCAAGUGACGGUACCUGUAGAAGAAGCACCGGCCAACUACGUG
rnacentral:rRNA from 1 species